rnacentral:rRNA from 1 species
UGGGCGUUAAGUUGCAGGGUAUAGACCCGAAACCCGGUGAUCUAGCCAUGGGCAGGUUGAAGGUUGGGUAACACUAACUGGAGGACCGAACCGACUAAUGUUGAAAAAUUAGCGGAUGACCUGUGGCUGGGGGUGAAAGGCCAAUCAAACCGGGAGAUAGCUGGUUCUCCCCGAAAGCUAUUUAGGUAGCGCCUCGUGAAUUCAUCUCCGGGGGUAGAGCACUGUUUCGGCUAGGGGGCCAUCCCGGCUUACCAACCCGAUGCAAACUGCGAAUACCGGAGAAUGUUAUCACGGGAGACACACGGCGGGUGCUAACGUCCGUCGUGAAGAGGGAAACAACCCAGACCGCCAGCUAAGGUCCCAAAGUCAUGGUUAAGUGGGAAACGAUGUGGGAAGGCCCAGACAGCCAGGAUGUUGGCUUAGAAGCAGCCAUCAUUUAAAGAAAGCGUAAUAGCUCACUGGUCGAGUCGGCCUGCGCGGAAGAUGUAACGGGGCUAAACCAUGCACCGAAGCUGCGGCAGCGACGCUUAUGCGUUGUUGGGUAGGGGAGCGUUCUGUAAGCCUGUGAAG